rnacentral:ncRNA from 1 species
UGUGGUGGAUUCGACUCGGCGAGCAGCUUCCGGGAAACCAAAGUGUUUCGGUUCCGGGGGAAGUAUGGUUGCAAAGCUGAAACUUAAAGGAAUUGACGGAAGGGCACCACCAGGAGUGGAGCCUGCGGCUUAAUUUGACUCAACACGGGAAAACUCACCCGGCCCGGACACUGGAAGGAUUGACAGAUUGACAGCUCUUUCUUGAUUCAGUGGGUAGUGGUGCAUGGCCGUUCUUAGUUGGUGGAGCGAUUUGUCUGGUUAAUUCCGAUAACGAACGAGACUCUACCCUAUUAAAUAGUGACAGUAUUGUAUUUUUUGUGCUGAUCACUUCUUAGAGGGACUGGCAAAUUGAAAGCUGCACGAAAAAGAGCAAUAACAGGUCUGUGAUGCCCUUCGAUGUCCGGGGCUGCACGCGCGCUACAAUGAAAGCGUCAACGUGAGUUACGUCCUUACCUGAAAAGGUUUGGCAAUCGAAUGAAACGUUUUCUUGAAUGGAAUAGGGAAUUGCAAUUGUUUCCCUUGAACGAGGAAUUCCCAGUAAGCGUGAGUCAUUAGCUCGCGUUGAUUACGUCCCUGCCCUUUGUACACACCGCCCGUCGCUACUACCGAUUGGAUGAUUUAGUGAGGUGUUUUGACUGGCGCCAGUAGUCGGAUAUGUAUUCGGCUUCGCGCCGGGAAAUUUCCCAAACCAAAUCAUCUAGAGGAAGUAAAGUCGUAACAAAGUUUCCGUAGUGAACCUGCGGAAGGAUCAUUA